rnacentral:rRNA from 1 species
AUUGAACGCUGGCGGCAGGCCUAACACAUGCAAGUCGAGCGGAGCGGCGGGCGGACGAGUAAGGCCUAUGAAUCUGCCUGGUAGUGGGGGAGAAAGUCCGGCAACGGGCGCUGAUACCGAAUACUUUCAGACGGGCCUAGGUAGGAUUAGCUAGUGGGUGGGGUAAAGGCUGACCAAGGCGACGGUCCGUACCUGGUCUGAGAGGAUGAUCAGUCACACUGGAACUGAGACACGGUCCAGACUCCUACGGGAGGCAGCAGUGGGGAAUAUUGGACAAUGGGCGAAAGCCUGAUGCAGCCAUGCCGCGUGUGUGAAGAAGGUCUUAGGAUUGUAAAGCACUUUAAGUUGGGAGGCGUUACCGACAGAAGAAGCACCGGCUAACUUCGUGCCAGCAGCCGCGGUAAUAC